CCUACGGGAGGCAGCAGUGAGGAAUAUUGGUCAAUGGACGAGAGUCUGAACCAGCCAAGUAGCGUGAAGGAUGACUGCCCUAUGGGUUGUAAACUUCUUUUAUAUGGGAAUAAAAUGUUCCACGUGUGGGAUUUUGUAUGUACCAUAUGAAUAAGCAUCGGCUAACUCCGUGCCAGCAGCCGCGGUAAUACGGAGGAUCCGAGCGUUAUCCGGAUUUAUUGGGUUUAACGGGAGCGUAGGUGGAUUGUUAAGUCAGUUGUGAAAGUUUGCGGCUCAACCGUAAAAUUGCAGUUGAAACUGGCAGUCUUGAGUACAGUAGAGGUGGGCGGAAUUCGUGGUGUAGCGGUGAAAUGCUUAGAUAUCACGAAGAACUCCGAUUGCGAAGGCAGUUCACUGGACUGCAACUGACACUGAGGCUCGAAAGUGUGGGUAUCAAACAGGAUUAGAUACCCGUGUAGUC
rnacentral:rRNA from 1 species